UACAGAGGGUGCAAGCGUUGUUCGGAAUUAUUGGGCGUAAAGCGCGUGUAGGCGGUGAUGCAUGUCGGGUGUGAAAGCCCUCAGCUUAACUGAGGAAGUGCGCCCGAAACUGCAUCGCUGGAGUGUCGGAGAGGAAGGCGGAAUUCCCGGUGUAGAGGUGAAAUUCGUAGAUAUCGGGAGGAACACCAGUGGCGAAGGCGGCCUUCUGGACGAACACUGAAGCUGAGACGCGAAAGCGUGGGUAGCAAACAGG
rnacentral:rRNA from 1 species